GACUGCGGAGGAUCAUUACAGAGUUCAUGCCCCCCGGGGUAGAUCUCCCACCCUUGUGUAUCAUUAUAAAAUGUUGCUUUGGCGGGCCGCAAGCCUGGCUUGCCCGGAUUCGCGUCCGGUGUGCCCGCCAGAGGACCCUAAACUCUGAAUGUUAGUGUCGUCUGAGUAACUAUUAAAUAGUUAAAACUUUCAACAACGGAUCUCUUGGUUCUGGCAUCGAUGAAGAACGCAGCGAAAUGCGAUAAGUAAUGUGAAUUGCAGAAUUCAGUGAAUCAUCGAAUCUUUGAACGCACAUUGCGCCCCUUGGUAUUCCGGGGGGCAUGCCUGUUCGAGCGUCAUUAAUACCAAUCUAGCCCGGCUAGGUCUUGGGCGCCGCCAUCCGGCGGGCCUUAAAAUCAGUGGCGGUGCUCCUCAGCUCUACGCGUAGUAAUUUUCUCGCUAUAGGGCCUGUGGAGAUGCUUGCCAGCAACCCCAAAUUUUUCUAGGUUGACCUCGGAUCAGGUAGGGAUACCCGCUGAACUUAAGCAUAUCAAUAAGCGGAGGAA
rnacentral:sRNA from 1 species